AAGGUUAUAGCUCAGUGGUGGAGCGUAUGCUUACUAUGCAUGAGGUCCUGGGUUCAAUCCUCAGUACCUCCA
rnacentral:tRNA from 1 species